GCCAGACCAUGAACGUCGUCAGCGCCAUCUUCGCGCUGCUGGGCAUCGUCGCCUUCAUCGUCGACCUCCACCUGAACGGGCUCUACCGCUCCGGCUUCGACUACAGCUAUCUCAUCACGGGAACGGGAUCUCCAUCGUGCUGCUCAUCUUCACCAUCCUGGAGUUCUGCAUCGCGGUCGCCACCGCCAAUUUCUGGUGCCGGGCCACGCGCCUCCGCUCCAACGAGGCCAUGCUGAUCGUGCCCGGCACCAUCCGGGCGGACCUGGCGGUGCCCCCAGCGGAGCUGCCCCAGCCGCCCAGCUACACCGAGGUGAGCCGCGAGCCCGGCGUGCGGGGGGGGCACCCGGGGCGGGCAGCUCCCGGGAGCGGCGGCCACCCUUCCUCCUCCUCCUCCUCCUCCUCCUUGCAGCUGGUCGCCCCGGACGUCUAGCCAGGUGCCGCUCUCGAGGACGUCCCCGGCGCGGAGCCCAAGAGCAGCACCGGGUCACCUCCUCGCACCGCAUCCCGCCUCCCACCCGCCGCCCCCCAGCCGGCCGCCGAGGCCGAAGGCCGUGGGCAUCCUCGUCCCGACGCGCGGCCGGCCCGACCCUCCUGCGGACACCCCCCCCCCCCCCUCCCCGGGGCGGCUUUCCACUCGUCUUCCUCCCCUGCUCCCGCGCCCCGCGUCGUCGUCCCCAGGAGGGGCUUCUUUUCGCCCACCGGCUGCUUUUGAGAAGGGUCUUUGUGAGCGUGUGUGGGGGGGGAGGGUGUUUUGGGGCCUCCCGGGGUGUUUUAACCACCCGGCUGGCUAUUGGGGGUUCGCUGAUGUGACGUGACCUGCCGGAGGUCCGGCAACAACGCAGCGGGUAGCGCGGAAACCCCCCGUCGGAUGCGUGCCAGGGGCCGUGUAGAUAGCCUGCGUCCGACUCCGUCUUUCUACCUCGGGUUGCACCCCGUUGGCUUUAUUUUAUCUUUGAAAUAAAUGCUCUGGUUGGACCUCGGCA
rnacentral:lncRNA from 1 species